CCCGGCCCGGACACGGACAGGAUUGACAGAUU
rnacentral:piRNA from 4 species